GAUGAACGCUGGCGGCGUGCCUAAUACAUGCAAGUCGAGCGAACGGACGAGAAGCUUGCUUCUCUGAUGUUAGCGGCGGACGGGUGAGUAACACGUGGAUAACCUACCUAUAAGACUGGGAUAACUUCGGGAAACCGGAGCUAAUACCGGAUAAUAUUUUGAACCGCAUGGUUCAAAAGUGAAAGACGGUCUUGCUGUCACUUAUAGAUGGAUCCGCGCUGCAUUAGCUAGUUGGUAAGGUAACGGCUUACCAAGGCAACGAUGCAUAGCCGACCUGUGAGGGGGAUCGGCCACACUGGAAGUGAGACACGGUCCAGACUCCUACGGGAGGCAGCAGUAGGGAAUCUGCCGCAAUGGGCGGAAGCCUUACGGAGCAACGCCGCGUGAGUGAUGAAGGUCUUCGGAUCGUAAAACUCUGUUAUUAGGGAAGAACAUAUGUGUAAGUAACUGUGCACAUCUUGACGGUACCUAAUCAGAAAGCCACGGCUAACUACGUG
rnacentral:rRNA from 1 species